GCAGGCGUAGCUCAAUUGGAUAGAGCAUCUGACUACGGAUCAGAAGGUUGAGGGUUCGAACCCUUCCGUCUGUACCA
rnacentral:tRNA from 1 species